CUUAAAACUAAGUUAUGCUUGAAUACAUGCCAACAAGUUACAGUGAGUAUUGAAUGUUAUUCUGAUGGAGACAUUCAUCUCUUUACAGGAGGGAACUGGUGAUAUCUUAGGUAAGUGUGGAUCAGAAGAAUACCUUUGACCUAGUGCUGGUUCCUUUGUAUGGCUCUUUUUGUAAGUUCCACACUCUCCACGUCCUAUAUCUUCCUGCCUCAGAAUGGGCAUGCAUUGACUUAGACUCAGGAUUAGUACAUUUGGUUGUUACAUUUACAGUUGCUUAGAACAGCCUUUAACUAGAAUUUUCAUAAAUCAUUUCUCUAAGUAAUUGCAUCAGAUGUUAUUUGCAUAAAAUCCAUUAUUGCAUCAAAUGUAAGAAGGAUUCUUAGCAUCCCCUAUAUUCUACAAAAUCCUUGCCCCCUUUUUGGCAAGCACUGCUGCAACUUGGAUUCUCUGACAGUUUUUGGAUUUGCCCUAUAUUGAAGGACUGAAAAUAUUUUUAUACCGGUGUGGAGGUGCACUGUGUGUUCUCACAUGGAUCAGAGAAUCACCCACCAUGUGCUCCAGUUUCAUUGUAAAAUGUUGGCAGGAAGUUGAAAUAACCCAUGGAGAAGUGUGCUUGAUCUAAAGAUUCUUGGUUGCCAAGAAAUUCUCAUUGCUUAUUACACUGGGAACAUUUUGGCUUAUUCAUCUCUGUAUCCAU
rnacentral:lncRNA from 1 species